rnacentral:rRNA from 1 species
AGAGUUUGAUCAUGGCUCAGAUUGAACGCUGGCGGCAUGCCUUACACAUGCAAGUCGAACGGCAGCACGGAGCUUGCUCUGGUGGCGAGUGGCGAACGGGUGAGUAAUAUAUCGGAACGUACCCUAGAGUGGGGGAUAACGUAGCGAAAGUUACGCUAAUACCGCAUACGAUCUAAGGAUGAAAGUGGGGGAUCGCAAGACCUCAUGCUCGUGGAGCGGCCGAUAUCUGAUUAGCUAGUUGGUAGGGUAAAGGCCUACCAAGGCAUCGAUCAGUAGCUGGUCUGAGAGGACGACCAGCCACACUGGAACUGAGACACGGUCCAGACUCCUACGGGAGGCAGCAGUGGGGAAUUUUGGACAAUGGGCGAAAGCCUGAUCCAGCAAUGCCGCGUGAGUGAAGAAGGCCUUCGGGUUGUAAAGCUCUUUUGUCAGGGAAGAAACGGUGAGAGCUAAUAUCUUUUGCUAAUGACGGUACCUGAAGAAUAAGCACCGGCUAACUACGUGCCAGCAGCCGCGGUAAUACGUAGGGUGCAAGCGUUAAUCGGAAUUACUGGGCGUAAAGCGUGCGCAGGCGGUUUUGUAAGUCUGAUGUGAAAUCCCCGGGCUCAACCUGGGAAUUGCAUUGGAGACUGCAAGGCUAGAAUCUGGCAGAGGGGGGUAGAAUUCCACGUGUAGCAGUGAAAUGCGUAGAUAUGUGGAGGAACACCGAUGGCGAAGGCAGCCCCCUGGGUCAAGAUUGACGCUCAUGCACGAAAGCGUGGGGAGCAAACAGGAUUAGAUACCCUGGUAGUCCACGCCCUAAACGAUGUCUACUAG